rnacentral:rRNA from 1 species
UACGAAGGGGGCUAGCGUUGCUCGGAUUGACUGGGCGUAAAGGGCGCGUAGGCGGUUCGUACAGUCAGACGUGAAAUUCCUGGGCUCAACCUGGGGGCUGCGUCUGAUACGUGCGGACUUGAGUGCGGAAGAGGGUCGUGGAAUUCCCAGUGUAGAGGUGAAAUUCGUAGAUAUUGGGAAGAACACCGGUGGCGAAGGCGGCGACCUGGUCCGAUACUGACGCUGAGGAGCGAAAGCGUGGGGAGCAAACAGG